rnacentral:rRNA from 1 species
UACCAGCACCCCGAGUGGUCGGGACGAUUAUUGGGCCUAAAGCAUCCGUAGCCGGUUCUGCAAGUCCCCCGUUAAAUCCAGCUGCUCAACAGAUGGGCCGCGGAGGAUACUACAGAGCUAGGAGGCGGGAGAGGCAAGCGGUACUCAGUGGGUAGGGGUAAAAUCCGUUGAUCCAUUGAAGACCACCAGUGGCGAAGGCGGCUUGCCAGAAUGCGCUCGACGGUGAGGGAUGAAAGCUGGGGGAGCAAACCGG